UUUACAAACAUGUACUAUGUAUAAAGCUGUGGGACACAUUUUUGACACCUGUGUUGUAACUCAUCAACCACAAUGUAAACAUUGACUGGGGAAAAUAUUCUCAAAUUAUGGAAAGGUAGAUACAAAACAACCCGUGCUGAUCAAAUUCUGCGUCAGAUGGUUCACAAGGACUGGCCGAGUUGAUGAUGUGUUUGACGAAUUUUCCUACGUUGAUGAAGAAAUGGGUGAAUUCGACUAUUCACCAUCACCUAACAAGGAAAACUGGUGCACGUGGCUCUGAAAUUUAUUACCCAGCUGGAGAGGUCAGAGGCGUUCCAUUCCUUCUGUUAUGUUCAGAAGAAGAGGGUCAAAUUACUUUCGGUAUUCACUAACCUACAUAAGAAAUUAACGAAAUAUCGUUUAGGAAGAAACGUCGAUCCAAGUCCUGUUUCAACUAUAUGUCUACCUCACUGUCGACAAUUCAAAAGGCACAACAAUUGCGUAGCACCAAAAGAAUUUUAUUUUGCCUUUAGAUAAAUAUUCUAACAAUAUAGCAAAAUGAAAAUAAAAAAAAUAACCCAAUGCACCACCGAAUUUGUUUCUGAAUCUAAGAAAUCGGACAUUUUACGACCGAGGAAGAUGAGGGGGUCUUUUGUAUUUUGUUAAGUAAGACAUUUUUUUAAUUAAUACUAUAGCUAAAAAAUAAUAUACUUUUCAACACACA